GCCAGUAUGGUAGCUAUGACCCUCGGCUUGUAACCGAGUGGGUUCGGGUUCGAAUCCCGAGUAAGACG
rnacentral:tRNA from 1 species